rnacentral:rRNA from 1 species
UUAAUUGAAGAGUUUGAUCAUGGCUCAGAUUGAACGCUGGCGGCAGGCUUAACACAUGCAAGUCGAGCGGUAGCACAGGGGAGCUUGCUCCCUGGGUGACGAGCGGCGGACGGGUGAGUAAUGUCUGGGAAACUGCCUGAUGGAGGGGGAUAACUACUGGAAACGGUAGCUAAUACCGCAUAACGUCGCAAGACCAAAGAGGGGGACCUUCGGGCCUCUUGCCAUCAGAUGUGCCCAGAUGGGAUUAGCUAGUAGGUGGGGUAAUGGCUCACCUAGGCGACGAUCCCUAGCUGGUCUGAGAGGAUGACCAGCCACACUGGAACUGAGACACGGUCCAGACUCCUACGGGAGGCAGCAGUGGGGAAUAUUGCACAAUGGGCGCAAGCCUGAUGCAGCCAUGCCGCGUGUGUGAAGAAGGCCUUCGGGUUGUAAAGCACUUUCAGCGAGGAGGAAGGUGGUGAGCUUAAUACGCUCAUCAAUUGACGUUACUCGCAGAAGAAGCACCGGCUAACUCCGUGCCAGCAGCCGCGGUAAUACGGAGGGUGCAAGCGUUAAUCGGAAUUACUGGGCGUAAAGCGCACGCAGGCGGUUUGUUAAGUCAGAUGUGAAAUCCCCGGGCUCAACCUGGGAACUGCAUUUGAAACUGGCAAGCUAGAGUCUCGUAGAGGGGGGUAGAAUUCCAGGUGUAGCGGUGAAAUGCGUAGAGAUCUGGAGGAAUACCGGUGGCGAAGGCGGCCCCCUGGACGAAGACUGACGCUCAGGUGCGAAAGCGUGGGGAGCAAACAGGAUUAGAUACCCUGGUAGUCCACGCUGUAAACGAUGUCGAUUUGGAGGUUGUGCCCUUGAGGCGUGGCUUCCGGAGCUAACGCGUUAAAUCGACCGCCUGGGGAGUACGGCCGCAAGGUUAAAACUCAAAUGAAUUGACGGGGGCCCGCACAAGCGGUGGAGCAUGUGGUUUAAUUCGAUGCAACGCGAAGAACCUUACCUACUCUUGACAUCCAGAGAACUUUCCAGAGAUGGAUUGGUGCCUUCGGGAACUCUGAGACAGGUGCUGCAUGGCUGUCGUCAGCUCGUGUUGUGAAAUGUUGGGUUAAGUCCCGCAACGAGCGCAACCCUUAUCCUUUGUUGCCAGCGGUUCGGCCGGGAACUCAAAGGAGACUGCCAGUGAUAAACUGGAGGAAGGUGGGGAUGACGUCAAGUCAUCAUGGCCCUUACGAGUAGGGCUACACACGUGCUACAAUGGCAUAUACAAAGAGAAGCGACCUCGCGAGAGCAAGCGGACCUCAUAAAGUAUGUCGUAGUCCGGAUUGGAGUCUGCAACUCGACUCCAUGAAGUCGGAAUCGCUAGUAAUCGUAGAUCAGAAUGCUACGGUGAAUACGUUCCCGGGCCUUGUACACACCGCCCGUCACACCAUGGGAGUGGGUUGCAAAAGAAGUAGGUAGCUUAACCUUCGGGAGGGCGCUUACCACUUUGUGAUUCAUGACUGGGGUGAAGUCGUAACAAGGUAACCGUAGGGGAACCUGCGGUUGGAUCACCUCCUUACCUAAAGA